rnacentral:hammerhead_ribozyme from 1 species
GCACUGCUGACGAGUCCCAACCAGGACGAAGCAGCUGUCAAGUGC